GCGGAUGUGGUGGAACGGCAGACACGCUAUCUUGAGGGGGUAGUACUCGAAUGGGUGUGCGGGUUCAAAUCCCGCCAUCCGCA
rnacentral:tRNA from 1 species